rnacentral:ncRNA from 1 species
AUGGGGGUUUAGGCAUACGGAGGAUGAGUCAGAAUAAUGAAGCUUUUCUUAUGUUAUGAAGCUCGGGUGGGGAAUAUUGACUCUUCCUAAUGCGCUAUGGGUGAAGGUGUUACGUAGUAAAUACAUGAGAGAGGAGGUUGGUCAAUGGCCGGGACAAAGGGUCACGAUCCCGCGAGGAUGAGCUAACUCCAAAAACCCGUCCUCAGUUCGGAUUGCAGGCUGCAACUCGCCUGCAUGAAGCCGGAAUCGCUAGUAAUCGCCGGUCAGCCAUACGGCGAUGAAUUCGUUCCCGGGCCUUGUA